rnacentral:rRNA from 1 species
UGGGGAAUUUUGGACAAUGGGGGAAACCCUGAUCCAGCCAUCCCGCGUGUGCGAUGAAGGCCUUCGGGUUGUAAAGCACUUUUGGCAGGAAAGAAACGUCAUGGGUUAAUACCCCGUGAAACUGACGGUACCUGCAGAAUAAGCACCGGCUAACUACGUGCCAGCAGCCGCGGUAAUACGUAGGGUGCAAGCGUUAAUCGGAAUUACUGGGCGUAAAGCGUGCGCAGGCGGUUCGGAAAGAAAGAUGUGAAAUCCCAGAGCUCAACUUUGGAACUGCAUUUUUAACUACCGGGCUAGAGUGUGUCAGAGGGAGGUGGAAUUCCGCGUGUAGCAGUGAAAUGCGUAGAUAUGCAGAGGAACACCGAUGGCGAAGGCAGCCUCCUGGGAUAACACUGACGCUCAUGCACGAAAGCGUGGGGAGCAAACAGG